GAGUUUGAUCAUGGCUCAGAUUGAACGCUGGCGGCAUGCCUUACACAUGCAAGUCGAACGGCAGCACGGGAGCUUGCUCCUGGUGGCGAGUGGCGAACGGGUGAGUAAUGCAUCGGAACGUAUCCUGGAGUGGGGGAUAACGUAGCGAAAGUUACGCUAAUACCGCAUAUUCUGUGAGCAGGAAAGCGGGGGACCUUCGGGCCUCGCGCUCUUGGAGCGGCCGAUGUCGGAUUAGCUAGUUGGUGAGGUAAAGGCUCACCAAGGCGACGAUCCGUAGCAGGUCUGAGAGGAUGAUCUGCCACACUGGAACUGAGACACGGUCCAGACUCCUACGGGAGGCGAGCAGUGGGAAUUUUGGACAAUGGGGCAACCCUGAUCCAGCCAUGCCGCGUGAGUGAAGAAGGCCUCGGUGUAA
rnacentral:rRNA from 1 species